CAUUUUGAAGGGUGUGUACUUACCCCUUUAUAAGCGGCUUCCUAUGUACUUGCGGCUUCCUAUGUACAUGCCAGUCCAUAGCAUCAAUGCCUUCUUCUUGCAGUGACUGCUGACACACUCCAGCCACAUGAGGUCUAGCAUUGUCUUGCAUUAGGAGGAACCCAGGGUCAACCGCACCAGCAUAUGGUCUCACAAGGGGUCGGAGGAUCUAAUUUCGGUACUUAAUGGCAGUCAGGCUACCUCUGGCGAGCACAUGGAGGGCUGUGCGCCCCCCCAUAGAAAUGCCACCCCACACCAUUA